UAAGCUUGGAGCCGGGAGAGGUUGGAGGUACUCCCGGGGUAGGAGUGAAAUCUUGUAAUCCUGGGAGGACCACCUGUGGCGAAGGCGUCUUACUGGAACGGACCUGACGGUGAGUAACGAAAGCUGGGGGAGCGAACCGGAUUAGAUACCCGGGUAGUCCUGGCCGUAAACGAUGUGCACUUGGUGUGUGGGAUGGCUCCGAGCUG
rnacentral:rRNA from 1 species